UUAGGAAAACAUCUGAUUCCAAUAGGGGUGUAAUGAUACUCAAAAAUCACGGUUCGAUACGUACCUUGGUUUUGAGGUCACGGUUCGGUUCAUUUUCGGUACAGUAUGGGAACAAAAUGCAAAACCUUAA